rnacentral:rRNA from 1 species
AUGAACGCUAGCUACAGGCUUAACACAUGCAAGUCGAGGGGCAGCAUGGUCUUAGCUUGCUAAGGCCGAUGGCGACCGGCGCACGGGUGAGUAACACGUAUCCAACCUGCCGUCUACUCUUGGACAGCCUUCUGAAAGGAAGAUUAAUACAAGAUGGCAUCAUGAGUCCGCAUGUUCACAUGAUUAAAGGUAUUCCGGUAGACGAUGGGGAUGCGUUCCAUUAGAUAGUAGGCGGGGUAACGGCCCACCUAGUCUUCGAUGGAUAGGGGUUCUGAGAGGAAGGUCCCCCACAUUGGAACUGAGACACGGUCCAAACUCCUACGGGAGGCAGCAGUGAGGAAUAGUGGUCAAUGGGCGCAGGCCUGAACCAGCCAAGUAGCGUGAAGGAUGACUGCCCUAUGGGUGGUAAACUUCUUUUAUAAAGGAAUAAAGUCGGGUAUGUAUACCCGUUUGCAUGUACUUUAUGAAUAAGGAUCGGCUAACUCCGUG